rnacentral:rRNA from 1 species
GAUGAACGCUAGCUACAGGCUUAACACAUGCAAGUCGAGGGGCAGCAUGAUUUGUAGCAAUACAGAUUGAUGGCGACCGGCGCACGGGUGAGUAACGCGUAUGCAACUUACCUAUCAGAGGGGGAGUAGCCCGGCCGAAAGUACGGAUUAAUACCCCACUAAAACAAGGGGUCCCGGCCAUGGGAAUAUUUGUUAAAGAUUCAUCGCUGAUAGAUAGGCAUGCGUUCCAUUAGGCAGUUGGCGGGGUAACGGCCCACCAAACCG